GGUCGGUUAGCUCAGUUGGUUAGAGCGUGGUACUAAUAAUGCCAAGGUCAUGAGUUCGACCCUCAUACUGACCA
rfam:Verticillium albo-atrum VaMs.102 supercont1.6 genomic scaffold, whole genome shotgun sequence.